rnacentral:rRNA from 1 species
GGGAAUGGUUAAUUACCCGCAAAACGCCCUUACGGGGGAAAAGCAGGGGAUCUUCGGACCUUGCGCUAAUAGAUGAGCCUAAGUCAGAUUAGCUAGUUGGUGGGGUAAAGGCCUACCAAGGCGACGAUCUGUAGCGGGUCUGAGAGGAUGAUCCGCCACACUGGGACUGAGACACGGCCCAGACUCCUACGGGAGGCAGCAGUGGGGAAUAUUGGACAAUGGGCGAAAGCCUGAUCCAGCCAUGCCGCGUGUGUGAAGAAGGCCUUUUGGUUGUAAAGCACUUUAAGCGAGGAGGAGGCUACUUAGAUUAAUACUCUAGGAUAGUGGACGUUACU